CCUACGGGAGGCAGCAGUGAGGAAUCUUGGUCAAUGGCCGGAAGGCUGAACCAGCCAAGCCGCGUGAAGGACGAAGGUGCCAAGCAUUGUAAACUUCUUUUGUCAAGGGACAAAAUCAGGCUCGAGAGCCUGACCGCGGGUACUUGAAGAAAAAGCAUCGGCUAACUCCGUGCCAGCAGCCGCGGUAAUACGGGGGAUGCGAGCGUUAUCCGGAUUUAUUGGGUUUAAAGGGUGCGUAGGCGGACUGUUAAGUCAGCGGUAAAAGCCCGGGGCUCAACCCCGGCGAGCCGUUGAAACUGGCUGUCUUGAGAUGUCGAGAGGUAUGCGGAAUGCGCAGUGUAGCGGUGAAAUGCUUAGAUAUUGCGCAGAACUCCGAGUGCGAAGGCAGCAUACCGGCGGCGAUCUGACGCUGAGGCACGAAAGCGUGGGUAUCGAACAGGAUUAGAUACCCCAGUAGUA
rnacentral:rRNA from 1 species